GUUUUUAUAGUUUAAUAUAAAACAUUGGUCUUGUAAACCAAAAAUAAGAAAUUUAUUUAAAAACU
rnacentral:tRNA from 3 species